UUGACAAUGAGCAAUGGACAUCCAUAAACACAGACAACCCAAGCAAGUCCUUUUGCUGCCACAAGAUGGUAAAGUCCAAAGAGUACAGCAAAAAUACCAGCAUCAGAAACAAAGAUCUGAAGGCGCUCACGGUCUGUGUAGAUAGGGCUAUUAGGAUCAAAGUGGCAAGCGAAUCGGUCAUAAGGUCGGCCUGAAACAUUGAACAUCAAGUAUAGAGGCCAGCCUAGAGUGAGCUGGACAAGAAGUAUAAGGAUUCUGCCUGGUGGAUUGUUAAGAUAAGUGGAGAACCAACUAAUACUCGACUUCACCUUUGGUACAAAUACUUCAUCGCGAUCCAUAGAACCUGUAUUAGAAUGGUGGCGACGAUGACUGUAUUUCCAAGAGAAAUAGGGGACAAGGAGAGCAGAGUGUAGGACAAGGCCAACAGUAUCAUCAAGCCAUUGAUAGUCACUGAAGGCAUGGUGACCACAUUCGUGGGCAAUGACCCAAACUCCUGUUAGAUUACAGCCUUGGCAAAUCCAGUACAGCGGCCAAGCUAUAUAGGAGAGAUUGUAAGGCAGGAGAUGGAAAUAGUUGGUCGCGGCAUAGUAGAGGAGAAAGGCUAUUGUAAGGUCAUAAACAACAUAGGAGAAAGAGUGUAGGACAGAUCGCUUGAAACAAUGGGGUGGG
rnacentral:lncRNA from 1 species